AACAAACGCUGGCGGCGUGCCUAACACAUGCAAGUCGAACGCGAAAGUUGGCUUCGGCCGAUGAGUAAAGUGGCGCACGGGUGAGUAACGCGUGGAUAAUCUACCCCUCAGUUGGGAAUAACUCAUCGAAAGGUGAGCUAAUACCGAAUAAUACUGCCUGACCACGGUCAGGUAGUCAAAGAUAGCCUCUGCUUGCAAGCUUUCGCUGAAGGAUGAGUCCGCGUACCAUUAGCUAGUUGGUAGGGUAAUGGCCUACCAAGGCGACGAUGGUUAGCUGGUCUGAGAGGAUGAUCAGCCACACUGGAACUGAGACACGGUCCAGACUCCUACGGGAGGCAGCAGUGAGGAAUCUUGCGCAAUGGGGGAAACCCUGACGCAGCAACGCCGCGUGAGUGAGGAAGGUCUUCGGAUCGUAAAGCUCUGUCGGGUGGAAAGAAAUGUAUGGGGUUAAUAGCCUUCAUACUUGACGGUACCACCAAAGGAAGCACCGGCUAACUCCGUGCCAGCAGCCGCCGUAAAAC
rnacentral:rRNA from 1 species